CCUACGGGAUGCAGCAGUGGGGAAUAUUGCACAAUGGGCGCAAGCCUGAUGCAGCCAUGCCGCGUGUAUGAAGAAGGCCUUCGGGUUGUAAAGUACUUUCAGCGGGGAGGAAGGUGUCGUGGUAAUAACCGCAGCAAUUGACGUUACCCGCAGAAGAAGCACCGGCUAACUCCGUGCCAGCAGCCGCGGUAAUACGGAGGGUGCAAGCGUUAAUCGGAAUUACUGGGCGUAAAGCGCACGCAGGCGGUCUGUCAAGUCGGAUGUGAAAUCCCCGGGCUCAACCUGGGAACUGCAUUCGAAACUGGCAGGCUAGAGUCUUGUAGAGGGGGGUAGAAUUCCAGGUGUAGCGGUGAAAUGCGUAGAGAUCUGGAGGAAUACCGGAGGCGAAGGCGGCCCCCUGGACAAAGACUGAUGCUCAGGUGCGAAAGCGUGGGGAGCAAACAGGAUUAGAUACCCGUGUAGUC
rnacentral:rRNA from 1 species